rnacentral:rRNA from 1 species
UGCUUUGUGACCAAAUAUACAAAGUAAUCUCCUGCCCAGUGAUAUAAAUUCAACGGCCGCGGUAUCCUAACCGUGCAAAGGUAGCAUAAUCACUUGCCUAUUAAUUGUAGGCUAGAAUGAACGGGGUAACGAAAUAAGAGCUGUCUCUUUUAUGCAUAUAAAAACUAAUAUUUAAGUGAAGAAGCUUAAAUAAAAUUAAAGGACAAGAAGACCCUAUAGAGCUUAAAUUUAAAUCUUACACAAUAUUUUACAUUUCGGUUGGGGCAACCCUGGAUAUAAUCAUCCAAUAUGUAUAAGAUAAACACAUCUAAUUUAUGAUCCUAUAUUAGAUCACAGGAACAAGCUACCUUAGGGAUAACAGGCUAAUCCUAUUAAAGAGUCCUUAUCAACAAUAGGGAUUGGCACCUCGAUGUUGGCUUAGAAUAUCUUUAGGGCGCAGCAGCCCUAAAAAGAAAGUUUGUUCAACUUAUAAUAUUC